CAGCAGCCGCGGUAAUACGGAGGGUGCGAGCGUUAAUCGGAAUUACUGGGCGUAAAGCGUACGCAGGCGGUCUGUUAAGUCAGAUGUGAAAUCCCCGGGCUUAACCCGGGAACUGCAUUUGAAACUGGCAGGCUAGAGUCUCGUAGAGGGGGGUAGAAUUCCAGGUGUAGCGGUGAAAUGCGUAGAGAUCUGGAGGAAUACCGGUGGCGAAGGCGGCCCCCUGGACGAAGACUGACGCUCAGGUACGAAAGCGUGGGGAGCAAACAGGAUUAGAGACCCGCGUAGUCCCUGUCUCUUAUAC
rnacentral:rRNA from 1 species